GAUGAACGCUGGCGGCGUGCCUAAUACAUGCCAGUCGAGCGAACGGACGAGAAGCUUGCUUCUCUGAUGUUAGCGGCGGACGGGUGAGUAACACGUGGAUAACCUACCUAUAAGACUGGGAUAACUUCGGGAAACCGGAGCUAAUACCGGAUAAUAUUUUGAACCGCAUGGUUCAAAAGUGAAAGACGGUCUUGCUGUCACUUAUAGAUGGAUCCGCGCUGCAUUAGCUAGUUGGUAAGGUAACGGCUUACCAAGGCAACGAUGCAUAGCCGACCUGAGAGGGUGAUCGGCCACACUGGAACUGAGACACGGUCCAGACUCCUACGGGAGGCAGCAGUAGGGAAUCUUCCGCAAUGGGCGAAAGCCUGACGGAGCAACGCCGCGUGAGUGAUGAAGGUCUUCGGAUCGUAAAACUCUGUUAUUAGGGAAGAACAUAUGUGUAAGUAACUGUGCACAUCUUGACGGUACCUAAUCAGAAAGCCACGACUAACUACGUG
rnacentral:rRNA from 1 species